rnacentral:lncRNA from 1 species
GCUUGAAGCAAAACAAAUUAUUUCUGUUGUGGAUUCCUGUGGAAGCUCAACAGGGAGGUGGUGGGAAAACACUUCCCAAGUCUCCAGAUGAAGGGAGCAGAUGCUGAAGUAAUGAUAGAUCAUUAGCCUUUGCCAUUCUCCUCAUCCUGUGGUCAGAUCAGCAAAACUGACUGUAGCAGUUGGGCUGAUGUGUUUGGCUGUCUCUGUCCUGCAGGUUGUGCAUUGCUCACUGUCACGGGAUGUUGUGCUAAAGGAGAAGAGGGAAAAGGAACGUCAAAGCAGAAGGAAGCUGCAAGGGAAAAGCUGGGCUCCUGUUGCUUCAGAGUCUUGUGUUGGAGGCAAACUGGGAGCAUGAUGGCUCACAGGAAGGAAGAUGGGAAACAAGACAAUUGAAAGCUUGAGGCAAGCUCUGUCGGAGGAGAAGCCUUCAGUCCUAGAAGCCAGAUCUCCUGUUGGGUUCUGGAAAUCACCCAGUAUCUUUGUGGGAGCUGUUGAGUGUCUUCAUGCCUGCAGACUUCCCAACCCUUGUUCAUGCAUAGAACUUCAGCAAUAAACAUCUGUCUGUCACUCCAUGCAUUCAUAUUUGGCCAGCAUAG